CGGAUGCGAUCAUACCAGCACUAAAGCACCGGAUCCCAUCAGAACUCCGAAGUUAAGCGUGCUUGGGCGAGAGUACUACUAGGAUGGUUGACCUCCUGGGAAGUACUCGUGUUGCAUCCCUC
rnacentral:rRNA from 1 species